rnacentral:siRNA from 1 species
UCACUUUGAGACACUUACAACAUU